ACUCCUACGGGAGGCAGCAGUGGGGAAUUUUGGACAAUGGGGGAAACCCUGAUCCAGCCAUCCCGCGUGUGCGAUGAAGGCCUUCGGGUUGUAAAGCACUUUUGUCAGGAAAGAAAAUGGCAUGUGCUAAUACCUCGUGAAACUGACGUACCUGCAGAU
rnacentral:rRNA from 1 species